GAUGAACGCUGGCGGCGUGCUUAACACAUGCAAGUCGAACGGAAAGGCUCCUGCUUGCAGGGGUACUCGAGUGGCGAACGGGUGAGUAACACGUGGGUGAUCUGCCCUGCACUUCGGGAUAAGCCUUGGAAACUGGGUCUAAUACCGGAUAGGACGAUGGUUUGGAUGCCAUUGUGGAAAGUUUUUUCGGUGUGGGAUGAGCUCGCGGCCUAUCAGCGUGUUGGUGGGGUAAUGGCCUACCAAGGCGUCGACGGGUAGCCGGCCUGAGAGGGUGUACGGCCACAUUGGGACUGAGAUACGGCCCAGAAUGCUACGGGAGGCAGCAGUGGGGAAUAUUGCACAAUGGGCGCAAGCCUGAUGCAGCGACGCCGCGUGCGGGAUGACGGCCUUCGGGUUGUAAACUCCUUUCGCUAGGGACGAAGCGCAAGUGACGGUACCUGGAGAAGAAGCACCGGCUAACUACGUG
rnacentral:rRNA from 1 species